AUUGAACGCUGGCGGAAUGCUUUACACAUGCAAGUCGAGCGGCAGCGCGGCCUUCGGGCUGGCGGCGAGCGGCGAACGGGUGAGUAAUGCAUCGGAACAUGCCCAGUCGUGGGGGAUAACACUUCGAAAGAAGUGCUAAUACCGCAUACGUCCUGAGGGGGAAAGCGGGGGAUCGCAAGACCUCGCGCGAUUGGAGUGGCCGAUGUCAGAUUAGCUAGUUGGUGGGGUAAAGGCCUACCAAGGCGACGAUCUGUAGCUGGUCUGAGAGGAUGAUCAGCCACACUGGGACUGAGACACGGCCCAGACUCCUACGGGAGGCAGCAGUGGGGAAUUUUGGACAAUGGGGGCAGCCCUGAUCCAGCCAUUCCGCGUGAGUGAAGAAGGCCUUCGGGUUGUAAAGCUCUUUCGGCAGGAACGAAACGGUGGGCUCUAACAUAGUCCGCUAAUGACGGUACCUGAAGAAGAAGCACCGGCUAACUACGUG
rnacentral:rRNA from 1 species